UGGAGGGGGGAGAGAGAGAGAGAGAGAGAGAGAGAGAGAGAGGAAGGAAGGAAGGAAGGAAGGAAGGAAGGAAGGAAGGAAGGAAGGAAGGAAGGAAGGAAGGAAGGAAGGAAGGAAGGAAGGAAGGAAGGAAGGAAGGAAGGAAGGAAGGAAGGAAGGAAGGAAGGAAGGAAGAUAUAGAGAAAAUAGAGGGAAGAAAAAAGGGAAAGAGGAAAGGAAGGAAGGAGAGAAGGAAAGAGAAAGCAGGAAGGAAAGAAAGGAAGGAAGGGACAAAUGAAUGAGCAAAAGAUUUAAGCGCCUAUUUUUUUUUUUCGAAGUACUGUGCUAAGCACUUCACAAAAAUUAUCUAAUUUGAUCCUCACAAAAACUGUAAGGGUAGGUGCUAUUAUGAUCCCAUUUUAGAGUUGAGGAAACUGAGUCAGAG
ensembl:lncRNA